rnacentral:lncRNA from 1 species
AUGGAUGGAUUCCCCGGACCCUACUUUCCUGCCCCCGUACCACACGUGCUGCAUAACGCCACCCUGCAGACGCAACUCCACCUGUGGAAGGCCGCCGCUGCUUUCGGAGAGGUCAUCCACAUGACGGACAAUUCCGCCCCUUUAGCGGAUAAUGCCACGAUCAACCGAGCGUGGUUUGACCGCCUCUUUAAAGAAGGAUACACAUGCACCGAACACCUUCACAAGGGACACUGCAACAACUUCACAAUUCAUACACAAACUGUCCGAAAUAUGGACAUGUUCCUCCUCUGUGAGAAUGCCACCAUAACUAACACCUCCCUUGGGCUUAACGUGACUUGCCCAAAUGGGGGGAAGCUCACCAACACACUCAUGUCCAUCAACAUAACUAAUGAGACCCGGGUGUUCGUGCUCACGACACCCCCUCUGACCUUCUUGCCGGUAGGAACGGACAAGCCUUUUGCCGACUCGGAUUUCUUUCGGGCUGUCCUGAACCGGGGUAAGAGGGGCUUUGAAGUGACUGCUGUGGACUUCAUUGGGCUAGUGGCCAGUCUGAUAGAACAAGUGGAGAUUAGCACCCUCUACAAGCGAGUAGGCCUAGUCGAAGAUAAUCUUAGGGAUUUUAUGCAGCUCACAACCAAGGCCUGGAUUGCCCAACAAGACAUUAAUAAAUUGGUGACCAUAGAAUUGUCGGCCCUUACAUCGGCCGUGCAAGCCUUAGCCACCCUCAUACAGGUUAACUCCGUGCUAGAGGGCCUCCCUUGCCAUCAUGUACUACCCAGGCCAAUGUGCAUGACGGCCGCCGUGCACAACGCAUCCAGGGAGCUGGAUGAGGCAAUCCGGACCUUGAAUGAGCAUAGCAAUGUGUCUGACUAUCUCAGACGCCUAGAAGAUAUAGUACUACAGAUAAAGAAUGAGACAGACCAAUAUAAGCAGCAGAUACAAAAGGACCAUGGCAUUCUCCCCGAGUGGUUUAACCAGCUUGAAUUGUCUAAUUGGCUUAAUUAUGUACUGAGUAUGGGAAGCAUGGUUUUCUUUCUCUUGGUCAUGUGUAUAUGCCUCCCCUGCUUGCUAUCUUACGUGGUACGGCUUUGGCGUAUGGUCUUAGAGCAAGUAAAAGCGGAUAUAUUCCUGCGUAAACAAAAAGGGGGAGUUGUUAGGGGCGGUCGGCCCUAG